UCCCACAAAUCAUAUCUUAUGAGAAUC
rnacentral:sRNA from 1 species